CCCUGCCAUGGCAGGGGGCUCUGGGGGGGAUUUGGGGUCCCUCCCAGCCCAGUCCUGGCUGUGGUUCCAUGCAGGGGGCUGGAGC